UACGUAGGGAGCAAGCGUUGUCCGGAAUCAUUGGGCGUAAAGCGCGCGUAGGCGGCCUCAUAAGUCCGUUGUGAAAGUCAAAGGCUCAACCUUUGAAAGCCGAUGGAUACUGUGAGGCUAGAGUCCGGAAGAGGCGAGUGGAAUUCCUGGUGUAGCGGUGGAAUGCGCAGAUAUCAGGAGGAACACCAAUAGCGAAGGCAGCUCGCUGGGACGGUACUGACGCUAAGGCGCGAAAGCGUGGGGAGCAAACAGG
rnacentral:rRNA from 1 species